UUUUCUUUUGGGGGUAAUUCUAUGAAUUUGAUUGCUACCAAAGAAGAGGGAGGACUACACCCUCCUACUACAAGCCCAAUUGAAACAAAACAAAAAUUUCAAAGCCCAAAUGUCUCCUAAAACCCAAUCCAAAAGGAAUGCCCUCUUAAUCUCAGCCCAGAAGAGCACCACAACUAACUAUAGAGAAACCUUCCAAGCUUUCGAGUCUCUUUUGAUGCCUAAAUCUCUAACCAAAGAUGGAAUCUACCUUAGUACAUUCCCAUUGUCUUUGUCAGAUAAUUGGUUCCAUCAAACAGGAAGUUUCCUUCUUGCUUGCAAUUCACAAUGGAAAAUGACAACGACACGUCGUAGUACAAACUAUGUUGCUACUGCUAGUACAAACUUCAUGAAUUCGAUCAUAGUCGUAGGUAAGAACUUGAAUCACGAAAGUGCUAAAUCAUCCUAUAUAAUAGGAUAGUCGUGGCCAUCUCCUAUCCUUAAUAUUCGACCCUAGCACGAACUACUAUUCGUGGCAGGAGGCCAAGGCUACAUCCUAAAUAUCUUAAGACGAAACGUGUUUGUUCUCAACCCCCAACACGUUGAUGUCCGAGAGGCCGCUCCCGGAGAGCGUGGGAGCAUCGGUGCCGCCACCGCCUUGGCCGGGCUUGGGCUCGAGAUGGCCUUGGGUGCCGAGAUCGAGUCAUUUGCUCGCUGCCACUAGAGCUCAUCAUCUUCUUGUUUCUCUCGGAUUUGAGGUGGCCUCUUUAGUUUGAGAAAUGCUCGUGAUCUUGUGUCAAGCUACUUAUAAGCAUGGAAGGAGGAUUUCUUUUUCUUUUUCUUUUUCUUUUUUUUGUUCUAAUUUGUUAUUUUUGCGAGGGGAAGACCUAAUUUAGCGAGUGUCAGACUUGUUCAACACCCUUUAUUAAACCGAGGGCCAUCCUUGUAUGUCUCUAGAAUCACCAAUUUCAAGUGUCGAUUGCACCACUCAAAAAAUGGAUUUUGAACAAUUCUUGACCGUGGGUUGGAUGCACCAUUGUUUCCUUUGAAGUAACAGAAGUCCAUUUGAAGAAAGCUCAAUCACACUGGAUGCACAAAACCAAUGUUCAUUGUUGCAAACUCUAACGAAUUUCUUGAUGUACAGUUCUUUUGUGCUUAA